CUUCUUCUCUCCAAAGUGCGCGGCUGCUUUUGCCAUCCUAAUCCGGCAAGGGCUUGGCAUCUCCCAUCAGCUGCAAUGAUUUUCUUUGAUGCUGGCUUUGGGAUUUCAGACGAGAAUUCUAUGACUGCUCCGCCACUAGUUAACAGGAAACGUAAAAGAAUGAAUAAGCCACGUGGUGUAAAUGCUGAAAAUUGGUUGGACGAGGCCACGCCGAUCCUCAUCCAUAUCCUACAUGAGGAUGCAAGGAAAUAUGGGUUCAAUGGUUCAACCCUUUAGUGCUCUACGAUGGAGGGAAGUUAUCGAUGAAUUUUGGAUGAAAUCUGGAAGAAAGACACUUAUGACGAAAAUCGCAUUAAGUCCAAACAUCAAAGGUUAAGGACAGACACGAAAAACUUCAGGACCCUCCUUAAUUCUUCCUCCGGCUAUGGUUGGGAUCCUGAAAAUAACACAAUUACUUGCCCAGCUAUAUUUGACAAAAACAUGUGCUGGUAAGUUUGUGAGAUGAGUAA